GCUUUUUGAUUCUAAAAAUAAAAAGUCGGGCCUGCCCGGUGAAAUACGUUUAACGGCUGCAACGAGAGUUGUACUAAGGUAGCGCGAUAAUUUGUCUCUUAAUUGGAGAAUGGUAUGAAAGGUUUGUCGUGGAACGGUUGUCUCUAAGAAAGAAAGUGAAGUUUACUUUUAAAUGAAAAGGUUUAAAUAAAGCUAAAAGACGAGAAGACCCUGUCGAGCUAAAUUAAGGAAAAGAAAACUUGGCUUUUUUGCUGUUUUCUAUUACUGAAGUGUAGUUGGGGAAAAUUAGAUUUAAGAAAGUAAAUCUGAAGAAAGCGUGGAUCCUUUUUGAAAGAUAAUCGGCAAAAGCUACCGCAGGGAUAACAGCGUAAUUCUUCUUGAGAGAUCGUAUUGAGGGAAGAGUUUGCGACCUCGAUGUUGGAUUAGGAAAACUUCUUGGUGUAGCCGCUAAGAGUGGUGAGACUGUUCGUCUUUUAAAUUCUU
rnacentral:rRNA from 1 species